rnacentral:rRNA from 1 species
GAACGCUGGCGGCAUGUUUACACAUGCAAGUCGAACGGUAACAGGUCUUCGGAUGCUGACGAGUGGCGAACGGGUGAGUAAUACAUCGGAACGUGCCUAGUAGUGGGGGAUAACUACUCGAAAGAGUAGCUAAUACCGCAUGAGAUCUACGGAUGAAAGCAGGGGACCUUCGGGCCUUGUGCUACUAGAGCGGCUGAUGGCAGAUUAGGUAGUUGGUGGGGUAAAGGCUUACCAAGCCUGCGAUCUGUAGCUGGUCUGAGAGGACGACCAGCCACACUGGGACUGAGACACGGCCCAGACUCCUACGGGAGGCAGCAGUGGGGAAUUUUGGACAAUGGGCGAAAGCCUGAUCCAGCAAUGCCGCGUGCAGGAUGAAGGCCCUCGGGUUGUAAACUGCUUUUGUACGGAACGAAAAGCCUGGGGCUAAUAUCCCCGGGUCAUGACGGUACCGUAAGAAUAAGCACCGGCUAACUACGUGCCAGCAGCCGCGGUAAUACGUAGGGUGCAAGCGUUAAUCGGAAUUACUGGGCGUAAAGCGUGCGCAGGCGGUUUUGUAAGACAGUGGUGAAAUCCCCGGGCUCAACCUGGGAACUGCCAUUGUGACUGCAAGGCUAGAGUGCGGCAGAGGGGGAUGGAAUUCCGCGUGUAGCAGUGAAAUGCGUAGAUAUGCGGAGGAACACCGAUGGCGAAGGCAAUCCCCUGGGCCUGCACUGACGCUCAUGCACGAAAGCGUGGGGAGCAAACAGGAUUAGAUACCCUGGUAGUCCACGCCCUAAACGAUGUCAACUGGUUGUUGGGUCUUAACUGACUCAGUAACGAAGCUAACGCGUGAA